UGACCGAUAGUGAACCAGUACCGUGAGGGAAAGGCGAAAAGAACCCCGGCGAGGGGAGUGAAAAAGAACCUGAAACCGUGUACGUACAAGCAGUGGGAGCACAGAGCAAUCUGUGUGACUGCGUACCUUUUGUAUAAUGGGUCAGCGACUUAUAUUCUGUAGCAAGGUUAACCGAAUAGGGGAGCCGAAGGGAAACCGAGUCUUAACUGGGCGUUAAGUUGCAGGGUAUAGACCCGAAACCCGGUGAUCUAGCCAUGGGCAGGUUGAAGGUUGGGUAACACUAACUGGAGGACCGAACCGACUAAUGUUGAAAAAUUAGCGGAUGACUUGUGGCUGGGGGUGAAAGGCCAAUCAAACCGGGAGAUAGCUGGUUCUCCCCGAAAGCUAUUUAGGUAGCGCCUCGUGAAUUCAUCUCCGGGGGUAGAGCACUGUUUCGGCAAGGGGGUCAUCCCGACUUACCAACCCGAUGCAAACUGCGAAUACCGGAGAAUGUUAUCACGGGAGACACACGGCGGGUGCUAACGUCCGUCGUGAAGAGGGAAACAACCCAGACCGCCAGCUAAGGUCCCAAAGUCAUGGUUAAGUGGGAAACGAUGUGGGAAGGCCCAGACAGCCAGGAUGUUGGCUUAGAAGCAGCCAUCAUUUAAAGAAAGCGUAAUAGCUCACUGGUCGAGUCGGCCUGCGCGGAAGAUGUAACGGGGCUAAACCAUGCACCGAAGCUGCGGCAGCGACGCUUAUGCGUUGUUGGGUA
rnacentral:rRNA from 1 species